AGUGAACGCUGGCGGUAGGCCUAACACAUGCAAGUCGAACGGCAGCACAGUAAGAGCUUGCUCUUACGGGUGGCGAGUGGCGGACGGGUGAGGAAUACAUCGGAAUCUACUUUUUCGUGGGGGAUAACGUCGGGAAACUUACGCUAAUACCGCAUACGACCUACGGGUGAAAGCAGGGGAUCUUCGGACCUUGCGCGAUUGAAUGAGCCGAUGUCGGAUUAGCUCGUUGGGGGGGUAAAGGCCCACCAAGGCGACGAUCCGUAGCUGGUCUGAGAGGAUGAGAAGCCAAACUGUAAGUGAGACACGGGCCAGACUCCUACGGGAGGCAGAGGUGGGGAAAAUGGGACAAGGGGCGAAAGCCUGAGCCAGCCAGACGGCGUGGGUGAAGAAGGCCUUCGGGUUGUAAAGCCCUUUUGUGGGGAAAGAAAAGCAGCAGGUUAAUACCCCGCGGGUCUGACGGUACCCAAAGAAGAAGCACCGGCUAACUUCUU
rnacentral:rRNA from 1 species